UUGAACGCUGGCGGCAGGCCUAACACAUGCCAGUCGAGCGGAUGAAGGGAGCUUGCUCCUGGAUUCAGCGGCGGACGGGUGAGUAAUGCCUAGGAAUCUGCCUGGUAGUGGGGGAUAACGUCCGGAAACGGGCGCUAAUACCGCAUACGUCCUGAGGGAGAAAGUGGGGGAUCUUCGGACCUCACGCUCUCAGAUGAGCCUAGGUCGGAUUAGCUAGUUGGUGGGGUAAAGGCCUACCAAGGCGACGAUCCGUAACUGGUCUGAGAGGACGAUCAGUCACACUGGAACUGAGACACGGUCCAGACUCCUACGGGAGGCAGCAGUGGGGAAUAUUGGACAAUGGGCGAAAGCCUGAUCCAGCCAUGCCGCGUGUGUGAAGAAGGUCUUCGGAUUGUAAAGCACUUUAAGUUGGGAGGAAGGGCAGUAAGUUAAUACCUUGCUGUUUUGACGUUACCAACAGAAUAAGCACCGGCUAACUUCGUG
rnacentral:rRNA from 1 species